rnacentral:tRNA from 1 species
CGAAAUUGGUAGACGCUACGGACUUAAAAUCCGUCGACUUUCGAGAUCGUGAGGGUUCAAAUCCCUCUAUCCCCA